rnacentral:misc_RNA from 1 species
AAGGACAGUACCGGAAGCGCAAGGCACCUUAGAAAGUCGCCGGUGCAUUCCAUCCAUUACGGGUUGUAGGCGCCACCGUCUUAAUCUAUAGAAACAGCGUGGCGAGGGUUCAUUGGAAGGAUUGAUGGGGAAGGAGAGCGAAACUACGGCCAUGGAAAUUGACGCUCCAAAAUCCAAUUCCUAUCAGAUCAAUCCCAGAUAUUCAGUCAACGUGUUGCAGCUGCUGAAGUCUGCGCAGAUGCAGCAUGGGUUGCGACAUGGAGAUUAUGCUCGUUAUCGGAGGUAUUGUACUGCUCGGCUCAGGAGGUUAUAUAAAUCAUUGAAGUUUACCCAUGGACGUGGAAAAUACACUCGUAGAGCUAUAACUGAAUCCACUGUUACUGAAGUGAGGUUUCUGCAUCUGGUUCUUUAUUCUGCUGAGAGAGCUUGGAGCCAUGCCAUGGAGAAACGACAGCUUCCAGAUGGUCCAAAUGGAAGACAACGCAUAUAUCUGAUUGGGAGACUGAGGAAAGCUGUAAAAUGGGCUGAUCAGUUCUCACGGCUGUGUGCUGCCAAGGGAGAUUCCAGAACAUCUUUGGAAGCUGAGGCAUAUGCUGCCUAUAUGAAUGGAAAUUUGUUGUUUGAACAAGAUCGGAACUGGGACACUGCAUUGAAGAACUUCAUAAGUGCCAGAGCUGUGUACGAGGAACUGGGGAAAUAUGGGGGCCUGGAAAAUCAGCUUUUAUGCCGUGAGCGUGUUGAGGAGCUGGAACCUAGUAUUCGAUACUGCCGGCACAAAAUUGGCGGGUCAAAUCUACAAACUUCUGACCUCCUACAAAUUGGUGAGAUGGAAGGUCCUGCAUUGGACCUCUUCAAAGCUAAAUUGGAGGCUGUUAUGGCUGAGGCAAGGUCCCAACAGGCAGCUUCCCUGACAGAGUUUCAUUGGCUUGGUCACAAAUUUCCAAUAUCAAAUCCAAAAACUCGGGUUGCGAUUUUAAAAGGUCAGUAACUUUUUACUAGUAGUAAUGAUUAGAGGGGUAAACAUUGCUUCUAAGUAAUAUAUUUACUAUUUGAUAUGUAAUUAUCUUGUGUAGCCUUUUCUUUUUAAUUCUAUUUUUUCUCUCACAUCUUUUGAUUAGCAAAAAAAAUAUCAUUGGAAGGCACCAAGGAGAUGACAGCCCAAGUACAUAACAAUAUCAUUUAUAAGAAAAAAAGCGGGCAGUGGCAGUUCACAUAUCUACAAAAUGUCGCGGACUAAUCCAAAAGUUCAAUGGUCUUAUAACCCCAUUCAUUUACUCUCUGAUAGUAUUUCUAGCAACAUGGUUGGCUGGUUGUAUAUGGAAUUUCUAUCUCUAUUUUUCAACCUAUUUUUUACCUAGUCUAUUUGACACUGAAGCUUGGUUGAGUAGGGGGUUAUAUUUGGUAUAUUUUUUUCUUAUGGGAAAGUAUAGCUGAAGCCAAGUAAUCACAAUGCAUCCCUGUGGUUUUUGCUCAGCACAAUCAUGGAUAUGAAAUUUGAUUGUGUUUCUGAUAAUUACAAGAGUCUUCUGUUCUCAAGACCUAUAGGAAAAUGCUAGUAUUUGGCACAAGCACCGUGUAGUUUGACAUUGCUAUGCUAGGAAGCAUACAAGCUUGUAUGCAUUGUCUUUAUGUUAUGAUUGUGGACUUGCUUUCAUUCUGUAAUUGUGGACUUGAGGUGGUUACAUGCACAUUAUAAAUAUUUCUUUGUUUCCCUUCAAUUUAUUUUAUUGUUUGCUUGGCUAGUCAAGUUCUGUUUGUUGUUUGAUUAUCUCUUCAGCUCAAGAACUAGAGAAGGAUUUGCACGGUCCUACUGCCGAUUCACUCCCAGCAGAGAAAAAAUUAGUCAUCUUUGACAAAAUUUUUACUGCCUAUCAUGAAGCUAGAAGCUCCAUUCGCAGUGACUUGUGCAGGUAAUGCCGACAGUGUAAAAGAUGACUUAAGUGGCCUUGAUAAAGCAGUUAGUGCUGUAUUAGGACAACGGACAAUUGAGCGUAACCAGUUGUUGGUUACCAUUGCAAAGAGUAAACUUACUAGGCGCUGUGAUGACAAAAAUGAGAAGGUUACCAAGCCUGAGGAGCUUGUUCGCUUGUAUGAUCUUUUAUUGCAGAACACAUCUGAUCUUUCUGACUUAGUUAGUUCUGGAAGAGAUACAAAACAUGAGGAGAUUGCAUUCUCUGAAAACUGUUCAGUUAGAAAUUUGGCUUUCCGAGCUGAAAGGUGCUUCUACCUAGCAAAGUCAUACAGCUUAGCUGGGAAGAGAACAGAAGCAUAUGCAUUAUACUGCCGUGCUCGUUCCCUUGCUGAGAAUGCCUUACAGAAUUUUCAGCCUCUCAAUAACACUGAUGAGGUGAUUCAGCCUAGAAAAAGGACUGUGACCCUUUUUUGGCAGUACUGCCACAAAAUUAAUUGAAAUUUCUUGUCAAUUUUUAGUGCGAAUCUAGAUUCUUCAUUGCAUGGUAAAUUCAUCCACAAAAAUAGCUAUUAAUGCUUCAUGGGUGUAGGAUUAUAUUUGUGAGUUCUGACAUAUAACUUGUUCUAUCUAAUAUUUGAUUGCUUAAUCAUUUUGCAUUACAGAUGAUGAUUACAGAGCUGAAGACAUUAUACGAUGGGUGCAGAUCUAAUAGUUGUAUAGAGCAUGCAUUAGGAAUUUUGGAGGAAGAAAAAGCUCCGGAGAACCUGUCGAAGAAAGUUUCUGCAAUAUCAUUAAGCAGGGGUGACAAGAAGGUGCAAUCUGAGCUUGAUUCUAUUAUUUCUUUUAAAAUUAACCAACCGUCUUUUAUUCUUUAUUAUAUAAUUAUGCAACAAAGAAGAGGACUAGCUUGCAGGAGGGAACAUUGUAUAUUUGUAUUUCAAUUUAUCUUUUCUUUUUGCCUUAUUUUGAUUAUUUUACAUUGUUUGACUAAUUUCCGUGGGAAUAUAAGAUCACAUUGUAAUACUUUGAAGUUAUCCUGACCUUAAAUAGUGCCGAAGUUUCAUGCACUGAGCAAUCCCCACAGAUGCACCUCAUGCAUCUGUGAUGCAAUUGAUAUUCUUUACAUGCUUGUCCGUUUGUUCUUAUCAUUCUAGUGCACAAAUUUAGUUUUUUAUUUUGUCAAAUGCCUGAAAACAGGACCUUAUCAUACGAUUUGCAUUAAUAAUGUCAGUUCAAUAUAUAAGCAUCUUAAUUGUGUGGUAUUCCCCACGUCCAACGUGGUGGGGUUUUUGUUUUUUUUUUAUUUAGGGAGAGAGGGGGAGGGGAGAGAGAGAAGGGGGGGCGGGGGGCGCCGUGUACAUUGAUGUUCUUUUACACAAAAUGAUAGGAAUAUUAUGGUCACUAUAUCUGUUGUAGCAGAUGGAAAAUUUGAUCAUAAUUAUUAUUGGAUGCUUUAGAAGUAAUACUUGUGCAUGCCUUUGUAUGUAUCAUUUUUGGCUACUAUUAAAAUGAGUUGAAAUUCAGGGUAAUUCUGAAUCAUAACAUCUGUUAUGCUGUAGUGACGUGUGAUAUUUGUGAUUUAUUAGUGCAUUCUCUUUUGUAACUGAGCUUGUAGGAAUUCACUGUAUUUAUCUAUUGCAUAUUAUCUAUCCUAGAAGAGACAAGAGGACUGCCAUGAACAACAUAUUUGCCGUACUUGUAUCCAAGUUUAUGUUCACUUGCAUCUGAUAUUCAUACACCUUACUUUGGUUUGCUUGCUAAUUUAAAUGUGUUAGGUGGAAAAAUCCCUUCUUGAGAAACUUGAUGCCUAUGAGUCUGCAGUUGGCGAUGCAAAUGUGAAGGCUCCUCCUCGCAUUGAAGUGUUCCCUCCAGCCUUCAAAACAAUACCUCGAAAUCCCAUCAUUCUUGACCUUGCCUAUAAUAAUAUUGAUUUCCCAUCACUAGAGAACAGGAUGAAGAAGGACAAGAAAGGCUUCAUAAGUAGGCUUUGGCGAUGAGUUUUAUAGGAGGCGGCAAUAACUUAAAAAACUAGGAAAAUAAAAAAGCAACAGGAAUUCUGAGAUGAGGUAUGGAGGCAUUUGCUUUGUAGUUAGCAGUUGAGUUUUCAAAUUAUAUUUAUUUAUUUCCAUGAUGGUAUUGCCUUUGAAUUUUUGGGAUUUUUUUUUUUAAAUGGGCUUAUUUUAGUAAAUUUUAACAAAAAAGAUGAAGUGGAAUAAAUGUCUUGUUUGGUAGUGGGCUUGUGAAGAAGGUUUGAUGGUAAAAAAACAAAAAAAAACUAUUUAUUUCUUCAACGAAAUACCCAUUUUAUGUUUACUCGGAUAGAUAAAUAGAAAAAAUAGAAAGGUUCAAUUUUCAAUUCUGGAGCUUUUACCUUUUCUAGGGAGAAAUGGGGAGAACCAGAAGCUUUGGAGCUUUUCAGAUUAAUAUAAUUGGUUGGCUCUCGGCAUUUUUAUGUGGUAUGGCUGGAAUGCGUUCUACGAAAUUGUUGUAGUCUUGCAGUCUGCAGGGGGUUGGAGAAUUUGAGGAUUGGUGAGAAACAAGACGCAACAUUAGGCUUUUGCUUUGGAGAGCGCUAGAGUGAUGGCUAAAAGCGGCAAGGGAAAGGGGCGUAGGAAAAGAAGUGUUGUGUUUCAAGAUAUUUGUAUGUAUGGUUUCUAAUUGAGUUUGAAGAAUUAUACACUAACGCUAAGGAUUAAGGUUUCAGAUUUGGCUUGGUUUGAAACUCAAUUGAGAUCGAACUGAUAUAAUUUUAUUAUUUAUAUUAAAUUUUUUU